rnacentral:rRNA from 1 species
GAUGAACGCUGGCGGCGUGCCUAAUACAUGCAAGUCGAGCGAACAGACGAGGAUCUUGCUCCUCUGACGUUAGCGGCGGACGGGUGAGUAACACGUGUAUAACCUACCUAUAAUACUGGGAUAACUUCGGGAAACCUGAGCUAAUACCGGAUAAUAUAUUGAACCUCAUGGUUCAAUAGUGAAAGACGGUUUUGCUGUCACUUAUAGAUGGAUCCGCGCCGCAUUAUCUAGUUGGUAAGGUAACGGCUUACCAAGGCAACGAUGCGUAGCCGACCUGAGAGGGGGAUCGGCCACACUGGAACUGAGACACGGUCCAGACUCCUACGGGAGGCAGCAGUAGGGAAUCUUCCGCAAUGGGCGAAAGCAUGACGGAGCAACGCCGCGUGAGUGAUGAAGGUCUUCGGAUCGUAAAACUCUGUUAUUAGGGAAGAACAAAUGUGUAAGUAACUAUGCACGUCUUGACGGUACCUAAUCAGAAAGCCACGGCUAACUACGUG